GUAAAAAUAAAAAAAAAUAACAUAAAAACGCAAAAAAAAACUAUAGAAAAAUCAGUUAAAAUCCAUAUUUCCAAUUUCAUUCAAUCAUAAGUCAUAAACUCUACAAAUAAUCGAGAACUAACGAGUAUCAAUCAACAAAUAAUACCAAUCAUUUGCAAAUGUGUUCGUUCUUCGAGUGAAAAAGUUUUACUGUAUAUCUAAAAACGUGUAUUACAUUGAAGAGAUUAAUAUUAAAGACUAUUUUGACGAAUAAAAAUGAAUAGUCGAUGAAAAGAUAGAACUUUAUGAUUAGUUGUACAAACAAAAUGGAAAAACAAAAAAAAACUAAGCGAAAAAACGAAUCAAUCUCCUAAUAAAUUCUAAUGAAGUGAACUGAAAAACUUGAAUUUUCUACAAAAUAUUAAAAAAAGUUCGAAGCCAGCUGCCUGUAAAAAAUGUUCGAGAAAUCGAUAAUAUUGUGAUAUUGGAAAACAAAGAAUCAACCGUCACGAGCACUUCAUCAACACGAAUUUGCAAGUAAAUACCACUUUAAAAUUUAUUUUCAUAGAAAAUGUAAAAAAUGUUAUUUAGUAUAACAUGACAACACCUAUUUCGUAAAUUUCGUGAUUGAACUGCCUUAAAGCGUUUUCAUCAAUGAUUUUUGUGAUAUUUUGACAAUUUCAUAUGAUUUGCUAGCAAUUUUUGUAUUACAUUUAUUUUCAUUGAUUAUUAAUUCGAAAUUAAAUGGGAGUAGUAGUAACCGGCUAUCGGUGAACUAUAAAACUCAUGGCCGGUGAAGUUUGUUGUUAUUCAAAAGAAUUUAUUUUGAAUAUAUUCACGUUAUUACUGACAAAAAAGAAUUUGUGAUCGAUCCGCAGUGUAAAUAAUCCACUAUAUAAUGAGUUAAAAAAGCUAAGAUGAGUUAAAUUAUUUGGUGAAUUUGUGGGUUAUAUUUUUCAUAAGGCGUCUCCACUAUAAAUUUUUGAUUAAAGAUCAAAUGGAACUGGUGUCCAUUGAUGUAAACAUAGUGGAAAUUGACGUCGAUUAAAAGUAAUAAUUUUAAUGACAUCUUAAAAAUUACUUUUUAAAUCAAUUCAAAUCAUCUACUAAUAAUUUAUUUGGAAUUUGAAAUAUCUAAAAGUUUUUCAGAUUCGGAAUACUUCCAUGUGAAAAACGACAAUUUCAUUCUCAAUUCUAAUUGAAAGCAUUGUUUUCGACAUCUUCAGUGCAUAUUUUAGAAUAGAAGAAGGAGAUUUGAGAAUUUGCACAAAUUAAAAAAAGGUACAUUUAGUACAUUUUUAUCGAAUGCGCAAGCUCGGGGCAUGGAGAACUCAUUUUAAACCCCCCGCCGAUUAAGCGUUUACCCCCUUCAUUUUCUCGGUUUUUGAAAUGAGCCCACAGCAUUUGAAAUGACUACCCCAAAUUUUUCGAUAUUUUCGUCCAUCAAAAUUUUCUUGCCAAUGUCAGAACCUAUGGUAAAAUGAGAAAAGUGAGUAAUGAAAGGUCCUCACUCUCAAAAAUUAAUUCUAUUAAGAUUAAAAACCCGUCUCAAAAAAUAUUGGUGACCAAUAUAUUCCGAAAUAUUUCAUAAACGUCAAGGGGGAUCACGCACGGAAAAUACCAUCGGCCCUUCACAAUAGGCACCGAAGUGUUACCAUAGUGCACCCAAGAUUCAAUAACUUACAAUUGAAAUAUUCAUAUUCUAUGUCAACCAGUGAACGUAUGGGUGUUUUAAACAUUUUUUUCACAAAAUUCCACCUGAAUUCGUUAGUUGGGCUCAAAUGUAAAGUUGAACUAUGUAUUAUUAAAAAAUAUUCGUCUCGGACGCAAUAUUCAAGAAAAAUCCACAAUUUAUAUUUGAACCAAUGAUUGACACAGAAUAUGAAACGGCCUAUGUUGUUUUUAUGGCCCUUUAGUGCAUCGUUUUUUCUUAGGACUAGGAGUAUUGGUUGAUUUUGGACCAUAGAUGACGAAUCAUAAUACUGAAUUGUCCAAAAUGUGUCUAAUUUGGAGUUCAAAGGAUUUAAUUUGUCAAAUUUGGGUUUUCGAGCACAUUAUUGUUUAUAACCAAACAAGCGCUUGGUAGAGACCAAUAGUGCGGAAGACAAAAAUGUAGAGAAGCAAAUUUUUAUUAAAAGAAAAUGCUUACUAAGCAAUGUGAUAUGGUUUUCGGCUUGUGAACCUUCCACAAAAUGCAAAGAAAUCAUAUGAAGUUUCGAUACACAUGAUGGUAUUCAAGUGUAGUUAAACAAAGAACUAAAGCUUCAAAGUGAAAAGACUUGGUAAGCCAAAAAGCGUUCUUCACUUAUAUGCUCAAAGUAUGCCACAUAGUUAUAGAAAAUGCAUAGUGCAUACACCGAUGGUUGCGACAAAAAUUUAGCGAAUGUGCCACCAUAGAAAAGUUUAUUUGAAUCAUUGGAGAGCAAAAAAAUAGCUUAAUAGAUCCAUAACCGGCUAAACUAAAGAUACGUAGACAGCGACUUCUCGUACACACAUAUUGUGAGAUAGCAUUGCGAUGCAAAAUCCAAUAUAACGCCAUUAACCGCAACAGUUAUCGAAAGUUUGAAGGUGAAAACAAUCCACCCAACGUUCAGUUUUCGCAGCUUUCUCGGAUUAUGUAUUUUUGACCCAUGUUGACCAGCUUUCGAUGUCUCUUUUGAUUAUUCAUCGACUGAUUACUAAAGGAUAAAUCGCAGAAAAAGCGUGUAUUUACUUCACUUGAACAUCUCGAUUAAGAUGUGGAAACAUGUUUGGAACACAUUCUAAUAACAAAAAUCGAUAGGAAAAUCGAUGCAUCAACACGGGGAAUCAUACAAUAAACCUAUUCAUACCAAACGUUCUAAAUAACUCUUCUUUAUAGUUGGAGCGGUAUGCUUCGUCAGAUAGCAUACAGCCCGAGUGGUUUGAUCUCCUCAAAAAUAAUUUUCCCUGCAUUUAUUAUCAAACAUAGCAGUUAUACAGAAAAAACUUCAUUUUGUUGUAUUCUAAGUUAUCCAUCGAUUCUGGAUUUCAUUAUCAUAUCAUAUUACUAUGUAAGCAUAACGCCAGCUCAAUUCUAGCGCACGAAAAAUGUAGUAAUAGAUUAGAUGCUUUUAAUUAAAUAGGAAAAAAUGGGUAAAGUGCUUCGGGCAUCAGUGCACUCUCGGUUGCGAUUCAAUCGUUUACCGAGUUGCAACGUAUACAAAUACAUCUAAGCCUCGAUACAAACUCAUAAUAGAGACAAUGUAAGCAAUGCGAAAUAGAAACAACAACAAAAAGUUGUUGUAGAAAAAAAUAUUUUGCAUCACAUUUAUUCAUACAAAUGAGCUUACGUACUGAGGCUUGCGUCGAGCCAGUUUUUCGGUUUGAAAAACGACUUUGAAGAGUUCGCUUAAGGCAACAGCAACAUAUGAAAGGAGGUACAGUCGAGCUGCACAGCAAAAGUUGUAAAAUGAAACGAGUGAAAAACGACGACGACGACGACGACGACGACAACAACAAAAUGCUUAAGUAUAUGUGUGCAAUCUAUCCAACCGUAAUAUGGCUGUGCUAUUCAUAGAAAAUGUUUAGUGCGCGUAGCAUUUUUUAUUUAAUAUCGCUUGAUUGAAAACAUAGAUGAUUUGAAAUGGGAAUUUUUCUUGAAUCGAAUCGCAACAUUCGAUUAUUAUCCAUUCGAAUCAAUAUGAAUUGAUCUGCGAACAAUCUUUUCUGUCGUUUUCAAUUAAAGGUUUCAAAUUAAGGAUGAGCUACAAAGACGUUAAAAUUUUUCGGUAGUAAAGAUUCUUUUCGAACGCUAUUCUACAUACAUGUAGAUGGCACAAAUACAUUCGUACACAAUCGGUGCGAACGAGAGGUAAAUAUGGUAUUGUGAGAGAAACAACGGUAUGUGUUAAACUCAAACAGCAAUCCAAUAUGGUGUCUAUAUCCGAGAAGUGGGUUUAAGGUGUCGUCGUCGUGUCGUUGUCGCGCGGCUAAAGUACAAUAAAUUGUUUACUUUUGUGUAAUUUUCCAAUAAAUUUGUCAUCAAAACUACAAGAAAAACAUAACAUCAUACAAACUAUUCAACGUAAUUAAACAAAUGACAAACAAUAGUUUGCAGCAAAGGCAAAGUGAAGCGCAAAACGAAACAAAACAAAUUGUGAAAGAAGUGAAUCAAGAAUAUCUAACAUUAGCUGGUCAAUAUUUCAUGAACGUUUUCUGGGAUGAAGUUGAAUAAAUCCAACUGAAAAUUCAAAUAAAUAAUCAAUAGUGUGCAAUUUUGAUAGUUGAAAUCCCCUAAAACGUUGUUAAGGGACGAGAGCCUACAACAGAAAUUUAAUUAACUAAUUAUUACUGUUGAAAUGCAGAAAAAACAACAACAACAACAACAACAAUGUUAAUGUCCUUCUUAAGAGAGAAAUAUAAUUAGAAACAAUUUUCAUCUUUCUCCUUUUUUGCUAAAUCAGUGACUUUUGUGAGUUUUUUUUAUGGACAUUACUUCGAUCGUUCAAUCAAAUGUUGAAACUAUACUGGCAAUCAAAUGAAUGGGCAACACACCGAAUGACAUUUCAAGACUAUUGAAUUGGAAAUCGCUCGGGUGUAAGUUUCGAUUAAAAUUUGUGAAUUAGCAAGUAAUUUACCAUUGAAUAAGUAAUCGGACUGUGACAUAUAGAAAUCUAAUUCAAAAAUAAACAAAAGACCUGUGGAAAAUUGUGGAACACUUCAUGAACAUUCUCUUUCGUGCACUUGAAAAACAUUGAUUCGUAAAUCGUCUUUGAGUGGAUUUAUGUUCAAAUUGUGGAUUUAACUGAGAAAAAACUUAUGAUUCAAGGUAAUUGAUAUUUCAACGCAUUCAAAAUGUAUAUAGAAUUGAUAAAAUGAAAUGUUUGGGGGACUUUUGUUGAUUUUCUAUAGUCGCUGAGAAAUACUUGUUUAUUCAACUGCUUAUAAAUUGUGAGAAUGUCGUCACUUUUCCUUUUUUCUAUUUCCAUUUUGCACGGAUUGCAUACUUGACAUAUCCCAGAUCGAAAUAGAAACUGUUUAUUGCUUGUCUUUAGCUUAAUAAAACCAAAUUGCAAUUUGGUGGACGAACCACAAUUUUCAAAGUGUGAGCAAAUUUUGAUUUCGAAAUUGAUUAAUGAAAUAAUUUGUAUUAGGCGAUUUCGGUCAAAUAUAGGAUUAUUCAACAGAUUUUCGUGGAUUUGACAAAAAAAAAACGUAAUAUGGAGCGACUUGUGUUAUUGUUUUUAGUAGCCGUUAAGUUGCCCUUUUCAAUAUUCCGAAUUUGCUACGGAAACGUAAUGUAAUGGUGUUGGAUGCAUACAUACAUGCUAACAUUGCAUACGUACGUACAUACGUACAUACGUACAUAUGUAUAUGUAUGUACAGUAUUUUCUGAGCUAAGGGUCCUUCAGGCACUACUAUUAACGAGCAAAACUUGACAACCUUGUGUUUGUCGUCCAAAUUAUUCUUUUCAAAAUCCAAACAAAUUUAAUUCGGGACUCUGUUUUAUUCGUAUCGACAGAACCAUUAUUCAGAUUAUUGGUGCUAUGUUUUACAUUCAUUACAUUUGUGAAAAAUUAUGCUCAAGUUUAAGUAAGUUAAUACAUCGCUAUUUGAGUGUAUGUGUGAAAACGAUUGUAGCGCUCCCAUGCGUACAAAAACCCGUCUUCUUUGUAUUGUAUUUAUGUAUGUGAAAAAGACUGUGCACAGCAGAGUGAAGAAAAAAGUUGAAAAAUUGAAAUAAACAUGGUUGCUGAAAAGAAUCGACUUCGUCAUCGCAUAGCUUACACAUCGUAUGAAGCACACAGAACGUACAGCUAUAUACAUCACACUCACUGAACAUGAACAUGAACAAAUAUGUUUAAAAAUAUCGCGCACAUAUUACGACUACAGCGUAUACAUUCGGCUGAGCAUACAGACACCGAACAACUUCUACAAUACAUACAUAAAAUCAAACUCGCAUCCAUUUCUAGUUAUUCGCCAUAGCUACACUUUUUCACUGUUCUCUUCUUUCACUUUACUCUUUCUUUCCAAUAUUUUUUUUGUUCGGCUCUCCCACCCGAUUUCUGUAAAGAAAAUCGAUGUAAAGAAGAUGUACUUAUUAGAAGCAAUACUAAAUCUAAAACAGUCACGCUGAAUAUAAAACGCGUCUCAUUCACAAAUGUCUAAUGGUCACGAUGAAUUGCUUGAAGUAGAUUCCACGUUUAUAGAAUAGAUGAUAAAAAUGUUACCAAGUCAUAAUAUGUGUAUAAGUGGUCUAUUUAAAAAUAUACAUUGAAUAUCAUAGAUGAUGCCGACUGACGUAAUUGUAAUAGUUGGUAAAUUCUGGGAUACUUCCAUUGAACUUCCUCACAACAGGCUCAAAACGGGCUCAAAAUUUACAAGCUAUCAACUUGAUCAGUAAAAUUAUUAGUUCAUUUGAAUAAGAUAUAGCAAUUAUCAUGCAAUUUUUGAACAUCCAGCGAUAUCGUCACUUUUUGGGAAUUUUAGUUCUAUAUUUUGAUUACUUUCCAUCAGCAAAAUUAAUUCAUUCCAACUUUAUUUUGGCAUACAAGAUGAAACAUGUAUGCAAGAUUCGGUAUACUUCCUUCCGCAUUAUAAAAAUCGUCAAUGUGUUACAAUUAUUGAAUUGAACUAAGGGAGAUUCAAAUUAACGAGUAGGAUACAAUAUACACGUAAACAAUAUACAGACUUACGAACAAUGGCGUUUCUCAAAACACACCACAUUCCAUAAAUGGGUUUGGUAAGCGUUGUGAGUUGUUGAGUGAUGUCCCAUGCCAAACUAAUUGUAUGAGAAAAAAACUAAAACCACCAAAAAUAAAAAUAAAAAACAAAAUAACAUGUCACCUUAGCAUUGACUUCAUGAUAUGCACAGCAAUUGAUCCAAUGUUUUCUUUUGCAUUCAUGGUCUAUCAAAACAAAUGGAAGAGCUUCUAAAAUUGGAUGAGCUACUACUACUCAUUCACAAGCUCCAUGGAAUAAAUUUGCAACUACAUCGACUAAGACAAUUAAGGGAAUCAAAUCGUUCGUACGCUUGCACAUUGUAUAACCUAUGUUUUAUAGUAUAUAUCGAAUCGGGCUAUUGAAAUUCACUCUACAACAAUUUGUGGUUUCUUUCGACGUAUACGCGUGCACGUUUAUACCGUGCAAUCUUUAAUAUGAAAAUGUGCUUUCCAUUUGCUGUUAAGCCGUCAGGUCGUCGGCACAUAGAAUACGUGUUACACGCGAGAUUCGCAUUGAACGCGCUACAAAUAUAUACCAUACAAUCAUGACACUGUAUUAUUUUCGGUACUGCAUACAAUUACAAUUACAAUUACAAUAAACAUUGAAAA